rfam:Myotis brandtii contig293822, whole genome shotgun sequence.
GGGGGAAUGGGGAGGUACCUUCAGCCUGGAUUGCGAGAGGGCCCAGGCCAGGCUGAGGGACCCCACCGGUGCACG